rnacentral:lncRNA from 1 species
GAUUUUACUUAAACUUUAGAAGAGAUGGGAAAUAAAACUCACGUUUUCCUGGGAAGCCGCGAGUGAGCGCCGCAGCCCCCACCAAACUCCUCCCCAUUCCCCGCGCCAAACUGUGGUGGAGGGCCGGAAGCAGAAACCGCGGAGAAAACAAAGACCGAGGAUCUCUAAGAGGCCAUGAAAUGAAUUUCUAACCUGGAGCCAGACUCGUGAUCCUGAACAGCGGAGGAGUCUAGCCUCGGCUCGGGAUCGGAGUUCUCACCUGGAAGUGGGGCUAUCUGGGAGGCACGUAAUAAACAGACAUAGACUGCUUUUUUGGGUGCAAGCUGACAGGCGGUUUUUCAAGGCUUAGAGUUUCUCUCUCACUCUCUGCACUCCUCACUCUCUUUCUCACAGCUCAAGGCUGCGCGCUCUGCUUUCUUCUGUGUGCUUUUCACACACAAGCCUCACAUGCUCCUCACACGAGCCUCACACAUGCUUCACACACACGCCUUACAAUGCCACACACGUGCCUCACACGUGCUUCACACACAUGCCUCACACACACCUCACACGCCUCACACAUGCUUCGCACACGCCUUACACAUGUCUCAAACGCCUCACGUUAGCCUCACACAUGCACCUCACACACGCCUCACACACACCUCACACGCUCUUCACAAACGCCACACACAUGUCCCACAUGCCUCACACUAGCCUCACACACACACACACCACACAUGCCUCACACACACGCCUCACACAUGUCCCACAUGCCUCACACUAGCCUCACACACACACACCACACACCUCACACACACACCUCACAUGCCUCACACAUGCCUCAAAACACGCCUCAUACACACCACACAAGUACACUCCACAUGCAUUCUCCUUUCACUCACUCGCUCUCCACCUGCUCUUCUCAGGCUCUCUCGCCUUCUUGCCCCAGUCUUUUAUUGACACUCCAAAAG